GGCCCUGUAAUAUAUCAAUUAAUUCAUAAUAACCGGCAAUGAGUUUGAUCUUAUUCAGGAAAUUCUGGUGUAAAUGCCCUGGUCUUCUUGUUAAAUGCAUACUUGUUACACGAACCUGUUCACUUGUAUUGCUGCAUUUCGUUUAAAAAGAACAUAACUUUGUUGUUGUCUUUCCAAUCCCGUACUGUGAUUUACCUGAGAUCCUCCCAAGUUUUUGGCUUUGUUUUUAGUUUUCUUUGUUGUGUCUUGUGUACUAUUUUUU
rnacentral:lncRNA from 1 species